GUUGGCAUAUGAUGUUAAAAAUUCUUAUCCUACAGACUGAAUUCUGUGAAGAUCAAAAACUCCGCUUAUUAUCUGAUGCCUUC